UCUCUCCGCCUGCUUUUCUUCUAUUACUCUUAACCUUAGAGCUCAAAGCCAUUACUUUAUAAGCUAUUUCGGGUAUUUACAAUUCCUACUUUUCUCUUGCAAGAACUGUAUCUUCAUAGAUUAGAAACAAUAAUGAUUGGCUAAAUUGUAGAAGUUAUGUUGGAGAACCUAACUAUCAGAUCUUUAUUUUGGAUCGGUCCAAUUUCAUCGAAAAACACUAUUUAUAUGAUCUAUCAUUUUUCGGAGGUUUUGUUUUGCUGAUUUUGAAUUGUAAUCUUGCUAUUGCCCUAUCUUCAUAUCUUUACAGAGAUAGCACGGGUUUCUAGGAUUGUGCCAAACCAAAGUUUUGGUAAACUUGAUAGACUGAGAGAUAAAAAUCCCACACUUAUGUCUUCAUCUAACAUUUUAUCAAAUGUUGCUGGUGCAGGGUUAGCUGGUUGGCAUGGACUUCCGCAGAACGUAAUUAGUUUUCUGAUCCUUUGGUUGCUUCUAUAAUCUAUAAUAUGUGUCGAUCAAUGUAGUUAUGUUAGAUUUUUUUUUUUUUCAAUUUAAGCAGAAUGAAAUAGAAAUGCAAUGCCAUUGCAUUGAAAACAAAGAUGAAACUACUAUAGUAUUGCACCUUUGAUAUUAGUGUAGGUUCCUUAAGUGAAUGUCAGUAUCAUAUUUAGUGAUGUAGAGCAAAAAGAGAGAGAGAGAGAGAGGAUAUUUAAGACCACAUGUACAGUCUCAUUAUUCAGUAAUAGUAGUCCUAUUGGUAUGUUAUAAAUCCCGAACUAACAAAUGAGAAAAUAUCUGAACUUAUAGACUAAAAUUUUUACCUGAAAUAAAUUGAUUUCUAGAAAGACACCACAGGCUUUAGGAAUUCAAUGAAAUUUUCCCUUCUUUUUGGACUCAGUAAAUGGGGGAGUGAUUAUCAAAACUCUCAACUGAUUACCUAUAAAAAGAGUUUGCUUACGGUGUAGGAAUGUGAAUAGCAAUUAUAUGUGGUUUUGUGUUGGGAAAUAUACCUAUAAUACUUUUUCGAUAUUUCCUGCCAAACUUGUGGGUCCUUUCUUGCCUUGUCUAUGAUGUACAUGUAAGAAUUGAUUCAAAUAAUUAACCAAAAAUUGGAAAAUAAAAAGGUGUGUAAAAGUGGAAAAUGAAAAGGUGUGACUACGUGUCAACUUCGGCCAAAUAUUUGGAUUUGAUCCGAUGAUCAAAUUACAAAAGUAAAUAGACCAACUUGUUCUACCCAUCGAGUAGAUUGUAGUGGUAUAUUUGGAAUCUCAAAACCAAUUUCGGAUGAAUGAAAAAUUGAGGAUCAAAUUUGGAAGAAAUGAAGUGUUGCAACUUUUCGAAAGGAUGCAGGUUUUGGCCCAUACUACUUUAUUUGCACCCUUUCUACAUCUAUGAAUAGAGCCCUAUGGACAUGGUUUUGCGUGCACCAAUUGCAAUGAGCAUUCAUUCUCCUCUUGCAAUUCUCUCAUUUCAAAUUCCAUAGCAUUUUCAUGCAUUUCCCUGGUAGAGAGGGAAUUCCGUUCGAGUUUGCUGGUCGAAGUCAUUUGGAGUGCUCCUAUGGCUCGACAUGUUCAUUGUAUCUUGGGAGAUGAUUGUCAAAAAAUUGUUAGCACCGAUGCGGGUCAAAUUCAUCUUAAGGAAAGAGUUAUACUCACCAAAGCCAAUCGCAUCACUUACAUCUAAUUUUUUCUUAUCUCAUUUCUACUUGAUUUUAGAAAAUGAUUAAUUUUAUUUAUAUGGUUUAUGCAAGGUUCGAUAUGAAGAAUCACAUGUUUUAAUUCAAGAAUGGAAAUGAUCAGAUUCGAUAAUCAUUGGCUAGUUUCUCAAACUCCAUUUCGGUAAGUCGAAACCUUGUUGCGAUUUCGUGAACAUAAAUGGUAUAUUUUUUGUGAAUAUAAUAUGCAUAUAAUCGGUGUAUUCCCCAACAAUCUUAAGAUGAAAUUUCUUAUGCAUAUUAUAUUUUAUUUGCAAUCGAAAUCAAGAUACUGCAUGAAUAAAAUCAUAAGACAGAAUUUUGACAUAUCAUGAUUCUGGUAAAUGUGUUCUAUUACAACAUUUUAAUUAGAGAAAUUCAUGUGUAAUGAAUCUAUAUAUUAUAACAGAAUCGAUAGUGAUUCUAUAAUUUGAAAUCAUUCAUUUAUAAGUUGAAUUCACUAAAAUAUAUUUCAAGUUGAUUUGUGGACAAACAAUAUGAUAUUAUUCAAUCAUGCACCAUAUAAUGUAGAUUCUGGUUUUGACCCAUUAGAAGAAAUUCUAAUAUUCAGAGAUUAGAGUUGAAAAUCUCAAAUUGGUGCACUAGAUUAUAUGAUAAGUAGUUGUGAAAUUCAUAAUACAUAUGAUAUCCAUGAACCGGUGCAUACAUGUUUAUGCAUUGUAUUUGUUGGUAGUCUCAUCUAUGAGUUUUAUUUGUUGGCACUCUUUUAAUCCAAAGUGUAUCUAUAUUAAAAGAUAAUUUGUGUCAGAAGUUGCUUAAGGAAUUUUGUUUGGGAUGGUUGGCAAAAUCUUGUCAACUAAUUGUAAACAAAUAGUAUGCAUGCUAUAUGGAAAAAUGUAUCUUUCCAAAUUAAAAACAGUUUUUAAUUUCUGAAAUGGUGUGACCCGUUUGAAUUGUUUAGCAUGAAAUAUCUGUCCAGAUAGUAUAUAAAUGUAAACUGAUUUGUAAAGUCAAAUUGCACAUGGACAUUGUGAAUUUUAUAUGCUAACCAUUGCGCUCCUUCAUGUUUAAAUUGCCUCAAUUCAAAGUUAUCAAGAAAUAAAUUUACUAAACCUACGAAAAAUGCAUGUUGGGAUAAUUUUAAUUGUUCAAAGCAUGUUGGCUUUGGCUUUGUCAAAAUCUAGUAAUGCUGAAAAUUAUAGUUUGUGCAGAAUUCCUUACUUUUAGUUUAUGCAUAUGACAUCCCAAUAACUUUUGUUCUAUCACUAUGGCAAAUCAUUAUGCGUUUGAAUAUAUUACUUGCAUGAGAAGCAUAUUAUAACUGAUAAAUAUACACAUAACGGUAAUGGCAUGAGUAUGCAUUUAUUUUAAGUAGGCAACUUUAUUGGGUAUGUAUAUGAUAAUCAUAUGAAGCAGAUUAGUGUAUUCAUUUGAUGAAUCCAUACAAGUGUUUGGAUUUUGGAUAGACCUUUUUGGUUAAAAUGGUCUGGUUGGUUAAAUUUUCAUAUCUUAUUGAAAUUAUACUAACUUUGAUUAAUGUUGAUAGCCUCAUUUAAUCCUAUGAAAUUAAGUGAGAUGAUUUAAGUGGAUAUAAUUAUUUAGUUAUGAGAAUUAAGCCACUUAAUUAUUUGAAAUAUUCUACGAUCAAUUUAGAUGAAAAUGUUCAUCCUUUCAAAUAAAUAAUCAUGACUUUUGGUAGGAUUAUUUUUCAAUGGGUGUGUCUCAUCAUAGAGACUAAUUCAAGAGGUGUGUCCUUUUGUAGGAUUGUGUCUCUUGAGAACACAACUUUUCAACCUAUGGUUGAUUCGUUCAUUUAAGUUUGAAUAUGUUAAAUAAGGUGAAUAUGUACCUUAUUAUUUGACAUGAAAUGAAACUAUCAUGUGAAACAUCACAAAUGUGAUAAGAGAAGUUGCGAUUCUUGUGAAUCAAGAUGCUUAGCCCUCUUCACUGUUGAAAUUGACUUCAAUCGUGAGAUCAAUUAAAUAAGUUUAUACUUGGAAAGCAUCGUUGGUCUAUAUGAUGGAAUUGAUUUAAUUUGGAUGAUCCAAUUAAGAUAAUUGGAUUGAACUAUGAUAAAUUGUGAAUCGAUGACCACUACUUAGGAAGUAAUUAGACUUUCACUAAGAACUCGACAAGGAUAUUAUCUGAGAGAUAAAUGAAUUGAACUAUAAAAGUGUUGUUGAACCCUAAGUUCAAUUGUAACCUAAAAGAUUUGGGGCCGGGGGGGGGGGGGGGGGGGGGGGGGCUUAUCAUAAAUGCUCGUGAACUUGAAUAAAAAGUUCAAAACUUGUGGAUGCAACAUUACUAUAUUGCAUAUGUAUUCCUAAUUGAGGAAUUGUGAGGGUAACUCAGUUUAACAGUUACGUUUGCUUCUAUAUUAUAAUCACAAAAUGAUAUCUAUGGAGAUAGAAAGAUAAAAAAAACCCUUAUACUAAUUAUAAGGAUGAUAUAUACUAAGUCUAAAGUGCAUGAAAUGGGCUGUAAAGCUGAUUAUGGCGUUUGUUUAGACAUGCAAGAACAAUUGGAAUAUAUGAAGAAUAUUCAUAAAGUUCAAAUGCAUGGUAACGUUUCAAUGAUGAUAUUGAAUACCUAUGAUUCUGAAAUCCACUAGUAAAAGUGAUUGACUAGUGUAGUAUUUGAUAGAAAUUCUCCAACUGUGUUUGGAAAUUGAUAAAGCUAAUGACGCAUAUAGCUUCAUGAGAGGAUUUCUUGGUGGCGACAAUUUGUAUCUAUCAAAUGAAUCGAUCAUUGGCUAGCAAUAUUUGAUAAGAUACUAAGUCACAUAUAAUGGUAAAUCUAGACACAUAUGUCUAGACAUAAUACUGUUAAGCAGUUGAUCUCAGUAGUGUAAACUCGUGAUACCUUUAAGAGAUUUACCGAGAGAUUAAGUAUACUGCGUAUCGAAGGGAAUGAGGUAAAGCCUACUAUGUUAGAGUCCUUGUAAUGGUAACCCUACCUUGUUGACUGGAGAUCCCAAGAUCUUGGUUCAAAGGGACAACUAAGUUAUGAGAAUUCCAUGAAGCACUAACGAAAAUAGUUUCUUAACUCAUUCCUAUGAUAUUAAAGUGCUUUCUGCAGAGUUGUAAGAGGUUAAGAUAAUCUUUUAAUGAUUCAUAUAUAUUGAUUAAGUCAAGUGGAGUAUGACAGAAUAUUCUUAAUAGGAGGUCACUUAUGUGAGUGUGAAGUGGGGCCGCUUCAAUGAGAAUUAUUCAAGGCUUGAAUUCUUUAAACACUCGUAGAACCAAGAAGGGUUCAGGGCCAAAAUGAACCAAGUCAUGAGAAUCAUGAACGGUUUAGGAAAGACAUCUGUGUGAGUAUCAUUGUUUUGGCUUACACUAAAGGCUGAAUGGUUCAAGAUAUCACGUUUACCAAUUAGCCGAGUAAGUCCGAUAGUAUUUCACUACGGGAGGUUCUAGGCCCGAAGCUACCAUCCCCGAUGCAGUGGCUUUCCGCUCUCUCUCUACUUGCAUCACAUCAUAGCAUUACAUUUACAUACUCGAAUUUCCAUUCAUGUGGGGGAUUGUAUGAAUUGAUUCAAAUAAUUAACCAAAAAUUGGAAAAUGAAAAGGUGUGUAAAAGUGGAAAAUGAAAAGGCGUGACUACGUGUCAACUUCGGCCAAAUAUUUGGACUUGAUCCAAUGGUCAAAUUACAAAAGUAAAUAGACCAACUUAUUCUACUCGUCGAGUAGAUCGUCGUGGUAUAUUUGGAAUCUCGAAACCAAUUUCAAAUGAAUGAGAAAUUGCGGAUCAAAGUUGGAAGAAAUGAAGUGUUGCAACUUUUCGAAAGGAUGCAGGUAUUGGCCAAGUGUUGAAACUUUUUGAAAGGAUGCAUGUUUUGGCCAAUACUACUUUAUUUGCACCCUUUCUACAUCUAUAAAUAGAGCCCUAUGGACAUGGUUUUGGGUACACCAAUUACAUUGAGCAUUCAUUCUCCUCUUACAAUUCUCUCAUUUCUAAUUCCAUAGCAUUUUCAUGCAUUUCCCUGGUAGAGAGGGAAUUUCGUUCGAGUUCGCUGGUCGAAAUCAUUUGGAGUGCUCCUAUGUCUCGACGUGGUCGUCGUAUCUUGGGAGAUGAUUGUCGGAAAACCGUUAGCACUGUUGCGGGGCAAAUUCAUCUUAAGGAAAAAUUUAUACUCGCCUCGGCCAAUCGCAUCACUUACGUCUAAUUUUUUCUUAUUUCAUUCCUACUUGAUUUUAGAAAAUGAUUAAUUUUAUUUAUAUGGUUUAUGCAAGGUUCGAUAUGAAGAAUCACAUGUUUUAAUUCAAGAAUGGAA
rnacentral:lncRNA from 1 species